UGCCUUUGUCCCUCUUAUUGCCUUUUUCCCUCCCUUACCAUACGUUGGUCGACCAUGCACCUAGACACACUUCUAUUUUUAUUUUUUUCUCAUCUUUUCUCUCCUCAUCUCCCUUUAGUCGCUCCUCCUCCUUAAUCCUCCCUUUUUUUCUAUUUUUGUUUAUUUUCACCACCCCUUCUCAUUUCUCCUCCAUUCCACCCACUCUAAACGCCACCAAACCACUACCAAACAACCACUAAACCACAACCUCACCACCGCCAUUGGGCCGCCAUACUGUCGCCAUCGACCACACCUAAAUUUUCUGAUUCUUCUUCCUUUCCCCUUCUCUUCUCGUAAUUGAUUUCUCUAAUCCCUAAAUUCUAAUUUUUUUUCAUAAAAAUAAGUAUAUCACAUCCUAUUUCUAAUUUAUUUUUUAUAUUAUGUUAUUUUCUGUGUAGUUGUGAAUCUUCC
rnacentral:lncRNA from 1 species